GGGCCCGUGGCCUAGCAUGGAAAGGCGCCGUCCCGUGAAGCCGGAGAACCCGGGUUCAAGUCCCGGCGGGCCCGCCA
rnacentral:tRNA from 1 species